rnacentral:rRNA from 1 species
AACGCGAAGAACCUUACCUACUCUUGACAUCCAGAGAAUUUGGCAGAGAUGCCUUAGUGCCUUCGGGAGCGCUGAGACAGGUGCUGCAUGGCUGUCGUCAGCUCGUGUUGUGAAAUGUUGGGUUAAGUCCCGCAACGAGCGCAACCCUUAUCCUCUGUUGCCAGCACUUCAGGGUGGGAACUCAGGGGAGACUGCCGGUGAUAAACCGGAGGAAGGUGGGGAUGACGUCAAGUCAUCAUGGCCCUUACGAGUAGGGCUACACACGUGCUACAAUGGCGCAUACAAAGAGAAGCGACCUCGCGAGAGCAAGCGGACCUCAUAAAGUGCGUCGUAGUCCGGAUUGGAGUCUGCAACUCGACUCCAUGAAGUCGGAAUCGCUAGUAAUCGUAGAUCAGAAUGCUACGGUGAAUACGUUCCCGGG